AUGGAGGAAGCAUUCAGUGAUGGAGAUGAACAAGCAGCAUUCACAAGGUUUCUCUCCUUCCCUAAGAGGUAUUACCCUGCAUUGUUAGGGACUGAGAGAUUCUACUUUAAGGCUUCAAGUUGCUGCAAUCAUUCAUUGAGGCAACAGUACAAAGCUGCCAAUUUGAAAACAAGGCUUUGCUCAGUAGCAGAAGAAAAUGAAAAAUUCAAGGUGUUCUGGAAGGUGUUUCUGCAGGAUCUUCUCACUGAAGCAGCUGGUGUUCCUGGUAUGUCACCCUGGAGCCAGCCUGGUCUCCUUGCCUAUGGAAAGAAAGCACCUUGUCUGUGA
rnacentral:lncRNA from 1 species